rnacentral:rRNA from 1 species
UACAGGGGGGGCAAGCGUUGUUCGGAAUUACUGGGCGUAAAGGGCUCGUAGGUGGCCAACUAAGUCAGACGUGAAAUCCCUCAGCUUAACUGGGGAACUGCGUCUGAUACUGGAUGGCUUGAGUUUGGGAGAGGGAUGCGGAAUUCCAGGUGUAGCGGUGAAAUGCGUAGAUAUCUGGAGGAACACCGAUGGCGAAGGCAGUGGGCUGGGCCGGCACUGACGCUGAGGAGCGAAAGCGUGGGGAGCGAACAGG